CAUCCGAUAUUCAAAUCGCUUAAAUUUCUCAUAUUCCUCAG
rnacentral:antisense_RNA from 1 species